rnacentral:rRNA from 1 species
CAGUAACGGCGAGUGAAGCGGCAACAGCUCAAAUUUGAAAUCUGGCUCUCGGGCCCGAGUUGUAAUUUGUAGAGGAUGCUUUUGGUGAGGUGCCUUCCGAGUUCCCUGGAACGGGACGCCAUAGAGGGUGAGAGCCCCGUCUGGUUGGACACCGAUCCUCUGUAAAGCUCCUUCGACGAGUCGAGUAGUUUGGGAAUGCUGCUCUAAAUGGGAGGUAUAUGUCUUCUAAAGCUAAAUACCGGCCAGAGACCGAUAGCGCACAAGUAGAGUGAUCGAAAGAUGAAAAGAACUUUGAAAAGAGAGUUAAAAAGUACGUGAAAUUGUUGAAAGGGAAGCGCUUGUGACCAGACUUGGGCUUGGUUGAUCAUCCGGGGUUCUCCCCGGUGCACUCUUCCGGCUCAGGCCAGCAUCAGUUCGCCCUGGGGGAUAAAGGCUUCGGGAAUGUGGCUCUCUCCGGGGAGUGUUAUAGCCCGCUGCGUAAUACCCUGUGGCGGACUGAGGUUCGCGCAUUCGCAAGGAUGCUGGCGUAAUGGUCAUCAGUGACCCGUCUUGAAACACGGACCAAGGAGUCGUCUUCGUAUGCGAGUGUUCGGGUGUCAAACCCCUACGCGAAAUGAAAGUGAACGCAGGUGAGAGCUUCGGCGCAUCAUCGACCGAUCCUGAUGUUAUCGGAUGGAUUUGAGUAAGAGCAUACGGGGCCGGACCCGAAAGAAGGUGAACUAUGCCUGUGUAGGGUGAAGCCAGAGGAAACUCUGGUGGAGGCUCGCAGCGGUUCUGACGUGCAAAUCGAUCGUCAAACAUGGGCAUG